rnacentral:rRNA from 1 species
ACGUAGGCACCAAGCGUUAUCCGGAUUUAUUGGGCGUAAAGAGCUCGUAGGCGGUUCAGUCAGUCGGGUGUGAAAACUUGAGGCUUAACCUCAAGAGGUCACUCGAUACUACUGUGACUAGAGUGCGGUAGGGGAGCGGGGAAUUCCUGGUGUAGCGGUGAAAUGCGCAGAUAUCAGGAGGAACACCAGUGGCGAAGGCGCCGCUCUGGGCCGUAACUGACGCUGAGGAGCGAAAGCAUGGGUAGCAAACAGG